GCAGGUACUUUAUAGAAUUUUAAAAAAUUUAGUGGCAAUUUAUCAUAAACUUUCAUGUAACGCUGACGACCUGACGUGGUCUGUUGAUGACCCAUUUAAGCUUUCAAUAUAUUUGAAAAAUUUUGUUUCUCUUUUUGGACAGAGCCCAACAAACAGACCCACCCUUAAUACCCUAUCCGUACCCAUCUGAUCACCCUCCCCACCCGCUACCUAAUCGUGGCGACCUCGACUUUGUGCUGCUCCAUGCCUCCAUGGGUUCCUCUGAGAAGGAGAGACCUCUGACCGUCUUUGUCUACCGCUGCUGGGAUCGUGAUUUUCGUCGCCUCCAUCGCGCCUGAGCCACUUUGUUGAUCUCCACCGUGUGAACUAUCUAUUUGUUGCUGUUCAGAACCAGUUACUCGGUGUCGUGGUCUCACUCUUCUUUCCGGCGGAUGGAUCUCGACGGCUCCGCUCUCGGUGCUCACCGUUCUUCUUGGCAAGUGGCAACUGUGUCACGGUUCCUGUGUCAACCGGACUUCCCGGACAAUUUGAGGNNN
rnacentral:lncRNA from 1 species